UACGGAGGGUGCGAGCGUUGUUCGGAAUCACUGGGCGUAAAGGGCGUGUAGGCGGUCCGCUAAGUCUGAUGUGAAAGCCCGGGGCUCACCCCCGGAAGUGCAUUGGAAACUGGCGGACUCGAGUCCCGGAGAGGAGAGUGGAAUUCCUGGUGUAGCGGUGAAAUGCGUAGAUAUCAGGAGGAAUACCGGUGGCGAAAGCGACUCUCUGGACGGCAACUGACGCUGAGGCACGAAAGCGUGGGGAGCAAACAGG
rnacentral:rRNA from 1 species